ACUACGUUAAUUGUAAGUUACAGCUGGCAACAUUGUAUAUUGACGUUUCUCACGUUUCGAUUUACGGAAUACGUGGUCCAUAUUAUAACGCCUUUUGAAAUUUUGCACAUUUUAUUGAUUUUAUACAUGAUUAUGUAUUUAAUAUUGAUUACUUUAAAUGUAUAUUCUUCCUACAACAUUGUUCAAUGAUACAACUUUUUUAAGAAAUUUUAUGUGGAUAAAGAUGAAACGUAAUGCAAAUGUCAAAGAAAGAAAAUAAUUUUAGUUUAACUUAUGAAUCAUAAACAUACUGCUAAAAAUUCUAAACUUCAGGUCUAAUAAUAUAAACUACAUCUAAGUAUUUUGCAGUCCACAGGAUAAUUGAGGGAAGUUAGUUCUGAGAUGAUGAAAAUAAUAUAUGGUCUCAAAGGAAGUCGGCCUCAUUGUGAACAAGACGAAAUCCCGCUUUAUAUAAACCAAGGCAGGUUGGAAAAGUCCAGAAGCAAAUUUUAGAAGAAAAAUAUUGUACUGAAUAACUACAAUGGGCCAUUGAAGAAGAGAAGACGGCACAAGAGGGAAAUAUGGGCCUUAGAAAAAGAUAUCACGCCUCUAUCCCAUAAAGAGGUAGGCAGAGCACAUGAACUACUAAGUUUCUGUGCCACUCUUGGCAAAAAGGGGUGGAAAGAAAUCCAAAUUAUGACAUUGAAGAAGUGAAGACUAAAUAAGUAAACCAAAGGCCCCAAGAAUAUAAAAGACUGCAAUGAAAUUGUCAAGAAGAGGGUGCGAGAGCAGAA
rnacentral:lncRNA from 1 species